GGAGUAAACCAGACGAUCGCUGGAUCAGAGAUUAAUCCAGAGGAAAGUCCGAACACUGUAGGGCAGGGUGCUUCAUAACAUGAAGUCGUGGUAACGCGAAGGAAAGUGCAACAGAAAGUAUACCGCCCGGCGCAGACCAUCCAGUCUGGCGCCGGGUAAGGGUGAAACGGUGCGGUAAGAGCGCACCAGUUCCUCGGGCGACCGGGGAAGCUCGGCAAACCCCACCUGGUGCAAGACCAAAUAGGGGAGCGUUUGAGGGUGGCCCGUCCAAGCUCCCGGGUAGGUCGCAAGAGAUGCCGGGCAACCGGCAUCCAUAGAUGAAUGAUCGUUGUCCGGUUCAGGGUAACCGGGAUCGGAGACAGAAUUCGGCUUAUGGGUUGCUCCGGCC
rnacentral:RNase_P_RNA from 1 species